GUGCAGGCAGAGCGUGCUCCUGGUGGAUGGCGAUAGCUGCCGGGGGGCCUUCGGGGCUGCGGGGUGCCCCUGCCCCAGCAGCGCACGGAGGGGCAGCAGCACCUCGGGGUGGCACCGUGAGCGCAGGGACCCGGCAGCUGAGUGCCAUGGGCUGGUGAGUCAGGCGGCGGUGCUGCUGAUGAGUCAGUCAUUAACGAGCGGCGGGGCCGGAGCCAACUGCAGGCUCUCCGGUGGGUGUGCAGAUGGAGAGGAACCAGCUGGAGGUGGGCAGCGCACCGGGACACUGCAGCGGCGGCAGUGAUGCUCUCUGUCCUGACACGAUCACUUUGCUGACAAAAUGUCUAGAUGCAAGUGACAACAGAAAUAUUUACACGUAUUCCUUAACGAGCAACCCUCUCCGGUGGCUGGAUGACCUCAGUGAGGCUGCAAGGUGAGGAGUUUGUCUGGGGAUGCAACGCACCCGGUGACGCUGGUGCUCCUGGAGCCGUGCCUGCCCUGCCUGGGCACCAGGAGCUCUGCAGGGGCUGCCACCGUCCUGCCACCAUCCUGCUGUCCUGCCGCCGUCCCACUGCUGUGUUGUUUUUUUUUUUGGUUGUUGUUUUGUUUUUUUGUUUUGAUUUUUCAGUGCAUAUUACCCACAUAGUCUGUAACGUAAGGCAUGACCCUGUUCUCAUUUUCCCUGCUGGAGCUGGGAGCUGUGCUGCCACCGGGAGGCUCCUCAGCAUUCCCGCUCAGCCGACGCAUGGAAAACCUCCUGGAGACGCAGCUCACACUCGCCCCUGCCAAUGAUGUGCGGUGCUGCAGUUUGAAGGUAUCCACCGAGGAUGGCUGGUCGUGCUUUCUUGUUUUUCAUUUGUAUGUUCAUCCCCCGUAGCUUAGAUACUAAUAAUGGCACAAAUCGAGGUGAUACUUAAGCCUCUUGCUUUUCAAGUGGCAUCAAUUCAGGCCACUAAAGGGCAGGAAUCAGUGAAGAAUUUGGCACCUUGUUUCAAGCAUGCUGUGACAGUCCUCCCAGCAAAACAGAAUAUUUAUUAAUUGUCAGUCCCUGAUGCCUUACCCUUCUGAGAUGAGUACUCAUUCUGGAAAGAAAUCUGUUAAACAAGGCACAUGAUUUUCUAGCAGCACCACUUGCAGUUCGGUU
rnacentral:lncRNA from 1 species